rfam:Loxodonta africana unplaced genomic scaffold scaffold_0, whole genome shotgun sequence.
GCAUUGGUGGUUCAGUGGUAAAAUUCUUGCCUCCCGUGCGGGAGGCCCAGGUUCAAUUCCUGGCCAAUGCA